AACGAACGCUGGCGGCAUGCCUAACACAUGCAAGUCGAACGAGACCUUCGGGACUAGUGGCGCACGGGUGCGUAACGCGUGGGAACCUGCCCUUAGGUUCGGAAUAACUCCCCGAAAGGGGUGCUAAUAUCGGAAAAUGUCCUCGGACCAAAGAUUUAUCGUCUUUGGAUGGGCCGGCGAUGUUUUAGCUAGUUGGUAGGGUAAAAGCCUACCAAGGCGACGAUCCAUAGCUGGUCUGAGAGGCUGAUCAGCCACACUGGGACUGAGACACGGCGCAGACUCCUGCGGGAGGCAGCAGUGGGGAAUAUUGGACAAUGGGCGAAGGCCUGAUCCAGCAAUGCCGCGUGAGUGAUGAAGGCCUUAGAGUUGUAAAGCUCUUUUACCCGGGAUGAUAAUGACAGUACCGGGAGAAUAAGCUCCGGCUAACUCCGUG
rnacentral:rRNA from 1 species